rnacentral:rRNA from 1 species
UACGGAGGGUGCUAGCGUUGUUCGGAAUUACUGGGCGUAAAGCGCACGUAGGCGGUUCGUUAAGUCGGAUGUGAAAGCCCUCGGCUCAACUGAGGAAGUGCACCCGAAACUGGCGAGCUUGAGUACGAAAGAGGAUCGCGGAAUUCCCGGUGUAGAGGUGAAAUUCGUAGAUAUCGGGAGGAACACCGGUGGCGAAGGCGGCGAUCUGGGUCGAUACUGACGCUGAGGUGCGAAAGCGUGGGGAGCAAACAGG